AUGUUAACGGUCGUGUAGAGAAAGCACCUGACGAUAAGUAUUGCUGACAAUAGAACCUGGCUAGUACCACCUCCAGAUUGCUGGAGCUUUCAGUAGGUUGCCUGACUUCAUAUGUAUAGCAUGGUGACGUUACCUCAAACUCAGGGAGCCCAUAGGCCAGAAGGUGCUUUUCGGAGGCUGAGCUGAGGUGGAAGGGUGGUGAUAGCGUGGCCUUGGAGCCACAGGGAGGGAUGCGCAGGCACACUAUCUGGGAGUUUGAGGACACUGUCUGGAUGAGGUGGAGGCUACUGCAGAUGCCCUGUGGAGAAGUGCCAGUGUCCUCAGCUGCAAGCCAGGGAGCCCUACCCUGACACUUUCCUGGACAGUGAUGGCCUUUGCCUCUGUCCUCCAGUAUCUCGAGCCCGCUGUGGCCAAGGCCUUUUGUGUGGGUUUUCCAGUCUGUCACUGGUUGUGGUGACCUUAGGUCUUCCCUAAUCACCUCAUUGUUUAUCUCAGGGUUACUUGAGGGUUAAUUCAGUGUUGGCUACCCAAAUCUUCUAAGGAUUGGGUAGACCAGUGUCAGUUUAUUAGUGUGUCUCGGCUCUCUGUGGGAUACACGUAGUCUAUCACAUGGCCCUGCUGCACACACACACACACACACACACACACACACACACACGCAAGCACGCACAUUCCUCUUGUCAAACUAAGGAUCUUAAAAUCCACAGGUCACUGAUAAUCUGUUUUAGCACUUGGAUUGGUUGUAAGGUUUUUGGGUUGUAGAGUCCAAUGGAUCUAGCUUGUGGCUUCACCACCACAAACAUACUGCAUCUGUUUAUUCAGUGUGACAGCAGAUUAACAAAAAAAGAGUCUGAUGAAGUGGCAUAAACAUACUUUGGAAAAGUCACAUGGAUUUAAGAAAGAAAGAAAGAAAGAAAGAACAUUGUUUGGGUUUGUUGCUGUUGUUGGUUUGCCCUUCUGGCGCUUCUUUUCUUGCCCAGUGUGCCGCUGGGUCCUUUGGUACUGGCUGUGCUUAAAUACAAACCAAUCAAGCCCCGGGCGGACAAAUGCCCUGCUCUUGGUGCUCAUCACUGUAAUUUUUUUCCUGACUUUGCUCUCAGGAGCGUGAGUAUGUAAAUAUCUGAUAAUGAAUAGUUUAGUCACUGUCAAGAAAAUUAAUUUACAUUGUAUAACUGAAGACUCUUUUCAGGGUUAGGUGAUUUGCAUUGAUGUAUAUAUAGUAAAAUUGCUGUAAAAUUUUAAACCGAUUUUCUUAACUUGAUGUUCUUUUUAAACUUUCUGUAAGAUACAUGCAAAUGAUAAACGUUCAGUCACACU
rnacentral:lncRNA from 1 species